rnacentral:tRNA from 1 species
GCCUCCGUAGCUCAGCUGGUAGAGCGUCCGCCUUGUAAGCGGAAGGUCGUGGGUUCGAAACCCACCGGAGGCU